ensembl:lncRNA
UAUGAGUAUGAGUAUGUGGUCUGGGAGAGAGUCCUGUAACUCUCUGUCUGCAAAAUACAGUAUAUAAAGACCAAUGUUGGGCAAUUAAUUAUAUAGUUAAUUCUUCUUCUUCUUCUUCUUUCUGUUUUUUUUCUUCUUCUUUUUUCGCCUGUCCCGUUUGGCUCUUUUGCCAUCAGAAUUAUUGUCUAAAGGUGAAGAAAGUUGCCCAACGGAUUUACUUUACCAAAUGGACCCUCCCAGCCUUGCGGUAAUGGUCUAUUUGAUUCACCUUUUAUUGUUUAUUUUAUUUUAUUUUCACUUUGCUAAAUACAGGACAGACUUGACUGGGGAAAGAGGGAAAGAAAAACAGCAGGGAAGAGGAAAGAUGAUAAGGGGCAAACAACAAAAACCAACAAAAUAAGCAGACAAAAAAUACAUGUAUCAAUCACCUGGAUCACCUGUUGAGAAAGAAAAAAGAGAAAACAAGCAGAAGAAAAAAAAAGAGCAAUAUAAUAAACAUCACAAUGAUGUUUGUUGACGUUCAUGAAUUGAACGCAGAUUUUUGCUGCUCAGAGACCGUGCCAUCAGUGCGCAAUUGCCCUUCAGUUUUAAUAAUUGUACAGUAGUUCAAUUUUCCAAUAGUUUUGCCAAAGUAAGCAAGACCACAUGUGCAACAUAUCAUCUUUUAAACACUGGUAGCUACACAUGCAGUCACAUGCCUAACCUAUUUGAAAACGGUGUGUGGAUGACAACAACACACUGGUUUUCUUAUGUUAAAGGUUCAAUGAUUCUUAAUUAUCAUUCUUCACAAAGAAGCUUGACAGAGCAAGAUGUUGUUACUCGAAUCUCAGUGCUAAUAAUCGUUAAAAUAAGUAAUGACCUAAAAAGUAGAAUAAAAUUAAUUAAAAAAUACAUAAAUAAAUGUAAAAAUAAAAAUAAUAUAAAAUCACGACUUAUAAUAUAAAUAAAUGACCUACUAAAUAAUAGGUCGUUAUUACUAGAGAAAGAGCAUAUGUCUCCUAUAUUGGCUUCACUUCACUGGGUCCCUGUAAAUCCAGAAUUGAAUUUAAAGUCCUAAUCAAAUACAAAGUCAUGAAUAAUCAGGCCAAAUAUCAUUGGGCCAGAUACUAACCCCGAUUUGCUCUUCGAUGCAUCCAUUAGAGUAUAAAUAUGUAUGAGUGUAAGUUAGUUAAAGCAGCGGUCCCC